rnacentral:misc_RNA from 1 species
AAGUCGUAACAAGGUUUCCGUAGGUGAACCUGCGGAAGGAUCAUUACUGCUUGCUCACGACGUCUCUCCGGGCAACCGGGGCGGCGUCAGGCAUGCCACCCUUGUCUAUUUAUACCAUUCGUUACUUCCCUCGGCGGGGCAACCCGCCGCUGGGGACAAACCAAACCCUCUGUAUUAAGCAUCAAAUCUGAAACAAACAAAAUAAUCACAACUUUUAACAAUGGAUCUCUUGGUUCUG